UACGUAGGGGGCAAGCGUUGUCCGGAUUUAUUGGGCGUAAAGAGCGUGUAGGCGGCCUGGUAGGUCAGCUGUGAAAACUCGAGGCUCAACCUCGAGACGUCGGUUGAAACCACUUGGCUAGAGUCCGGAAGAGGAGAGCGGAAUUCCCGGUGUAGCGGUGAAAUGCGCAGAUAUCAGGAAGAACACCCGUGGCGAAGGCGGCUCUCUGGGACGGUACUGACGCUGAGACGCGAAAGCGUGGGGAGCGAUCCGG
rnacentral:rRNA from 1 species